AUGCAAAAGAUUUACGGUAUCUUGACCUGUCUAGGUCUUAUUUCGUUACCGCCAGAUUCAAUAUGUGUAUUGUAUAACUUGCAAACCUUAAGGCUCAUGGACUACCGGGAGCUGCAACAGCUACCAGAACACAUGGCAAGAUUGAGAAAGCUCAUCUAUCUUUAUCUUUAUGGAUGUUAUAGUCUCAAAAGUAUGUCUCGGAACUUUGGUCUACUAAACAACCUCUACACAUUAACAACAUUUGUUGUGGAUACUGGAGAUGGCCUUGGAAUAGAGCAACUCAAAGACUUGCAACACCUUAGCAAUAGGUUGGAACUGUGGAACUUGAGCAAGAUAAAGAGUGGGGAGAAUGCAAAAGAAGCCAAUCUCAGUCAGAAGCAAAACCUAUGUGAGUUGUUGUUCUCUUGGGACCAGGAAAUAAAUGAUGGGCAUAAGGAUAUGGCUUGUAAGGUGGAAGAGGUGCUUCAGGGUUUAGAACCUCACAGUAAUAUCCAAAAGUUAGAGAUAAUUGGAUAUGGUGGCUUAGAAAUAUCACAGUGGAUGAGAAAGCCUCGAAUGUUUAACUGCUUGAGAGAACUCGAAAUGUCCGACUACCUAGAAUGCAAGAGUAUACCUGUAGUAUGGUUCUCGACCUCUCUAGAGAUAUUGUCCUUACAGAAGAUGGAUAACCUGACCACAUUAUGUAAUAACCUUGAUGUGGACGCUGGAGCAUGCAUUACCCCUCUACAAAGUUUCCCAAGGUUGAAGAGGAUGUACUUGAAUGAGCUACCAAGCCUGGAGAUAUGGGAAGAAAACAGUGUGGGAGAGCCUUGUGAUAGCAUGGUAACAUUCCCGAUGUUUGAAGUGCUAAUGAUCCAAAAAUGCCCCAAGCUUGCAAGUAUUCCGGUGACCCCCAAUGUCGACGAGUUGACAAUAAUUGGAGUACACAGUACUGUAGUCAGUUUAGUUUUUAUGAGUAUCUGUUUGGGCACUUGGCCAUUUCUCGUCAGGUUAACUCUUUGGUCUUUGGAAGACAUAGCCAUGUUUCCUCUAGAUGCCCAGCAUCGCCAAAGUGAAAGUCCUCUUGAAAAACUCAAGUAUUUGGGUCUGCGUGACCCCUACAGCUUGGACAGAAGCUCCCGAUUGUCCAUACUGCACCUUAUGCCUUGGAAACGCUUUUCGUUCGUCGAAGAGCUGACAAUUGGUGAAUGGAACACUCUUGUCCGCUGGCCAACAGAGGAGCUCCGGUGCUUGGAUCGCCUCCGCGUUCUGUCGAUUGAUAAUUGUUACAACCUGGAGGGGAACACUUCACUAUCUGAGGAGGAGACCCUUCCGCUGUCCCUGGAGGAACUGACGAUUUUAUACUGCGAAAGCAUGGUUGCACUGCCUCCGAACCUUGGAAAUCUUGCCAAGCUGAGGAGGCUCGUUUUUACAUACUGCACUAGCCUGAAAGCGCUGCCUGAUGGGUUGUGUGGCCUCACUUCUCUUAGGGAAUUACAGAUUGAUUGUCCAGCUCUGGAGGAAUUUCCGCAUGGUCUCCUGGAGCGGUUGCCAGCCCUUUAA
rnacentral:rRNA from 1 species